rnacentral:rRNA from 1 species
AGCGAACGCUGGCGGUAGGCCUAACACAUGCAAGUCGAACGGCAGCACAGUAAGAGCUUGCUCUUACGGGUGGCGAGUGGCGGACGGGUGAGGAAUACAUCGGAAUCUACUUUUUCGUGGGGGAUAACGUAGGGAAACUUACGCUAAUACCGCAUACGACCUACGGGUGAAAGCAGGGGAUCUUCGGACCUUGCGCGAUUGAAUGAGCCGAUGUCGGAUUAGCUAGUUGGCGGGGUAAAGGCCCACCAAGGCGACGAUCCGUAGCUGGUCUGAGAGGAUGAUCGGCCACACUGGAACUGAGACACGGUCCAGACUCCUACGGGAGGCAGCAGUGGGGAAUAUUGGACAGUGGGCGCAAGCCUGAUCCAGCCAGACCGCGUGGGUGAAGAAGGCCUUCGGGUUGUAAAGCCCUUUUGUUGGGAAAGAAAAGCAGCAGGUUAAGACCCCGCUGUUCUGACGGUACCCAAAGAAUAAGCACCGGCUAACUUCGUG